rnacentral:rRNA from 1 species
GGGAGAUUUUUUUGUGAAGAUGCGCAGCUAUCAUGCAGUCGAGCGAAUGACGAGAAGCUUGCUUCUCUGAUUUAGCGGCGGACGGGUGAGUAACACGUGGGCAACCUGCCCUACAGAUCGGGAUAACUCAGGGAAACCUGGGCUAAUACCGGAUAAUCCUUCGAAUCACAUGUUUUGAAGUUGAAAGGCGCUUCGGCGUCACUGUAGGAUGGGCCCGCGGUGCAUUAGCUAGUUGGUGGGGUAACGGCCUACCAAGGCAACGAUGCAUAGCCGACCUGAGAGGGUGAUCGGCCACAUUGGGACUGAGACACGGCCCAAACUCCUACGGGAGGCAGCAGUAGGGAAUCUUCCACAAUGGACGAAAGUCUGAUGGAGCAACGCCGCGUGAGUGAUGAAGGUUUUCGGAUCGUAAAACUCUGUUGUAAGGGAAGAACAAGUACGUUAGGAAAUGAACGUUCCUUGACGGUACCUUAUUAGAAAGCCACGGCUGACUACGUGCCAGCACCCCCGGUAAUACGUAGGUGGCAAGCGUUGUCCGGAUUUAUUGGGCGUAAAGCGCGCGCAGGUGGUUUCUUAAGUCUGAUGUGAAAGCCCACGGCUCAACCGUGGACGGUCAUUGGAAACUGGGGAACUUGAGUGCAGAUUAGGAUAGUGGACUUCCAAGUGUAUCGGUGAAAUGCGUAGAGAUUUGGAGGAACACCAGUGCCGAACGCCGACUGUCUGGUCUGUUUUUGAGCCUCAGGCGCGAAAGCGUGGGGAGCAAACAGGAUUAGAUAUCCUGGUAGUCCACACCUUAACUAUUACAGCUAAACGAUAGGGGGUUUCCUCCCCUCAGUCU